GUGCUGUAGCAGCAUAUACACUAAACUUGGACCGAUACACAGAAGAUUAGCAUGGCCCCUGCAUAAGGAUGACGUGGCUAUGUGGACAACCAGAAAGUCCAA